AGAAGCCCUCGGAACCGGCUGCCUGAACGAGAACGAGAAUCG
rnacentral:sRNA from 1 species